rnacentral:rRNA from 1 species
UACGUAGGGAGCGAGCGUUGUCCGGAUUCAUUGGGCGUAAAGAGCUCGUAGGCGGCUUGGCAAGUCGGGUGUGAAAACUCCAGGCUCAACCUGGAGACGCCACCCGAUACUGCCAUGGCUAGAGUCCGGUAGGGGACCACGGAAUUCCUGGUGUAGCGGUGAAAUGCGCAGAUAUCAGGAGGAACACCGGUGGCGAAGGCGGCUCUCUGGGACGGUACUGACGCUGAGACGCGAAAGCGUGGGGAGCGAACAGG